rnacentral:pre_miRNA from 1 species
UGCAAUGCCCUAUUUAGAAUGGCGCUGAUCUGAUGAAUAAAAAAAUGAUCAGGGCCUUUCUAAGUAGAGUAAGGCUUA